rnacentral:rRNA from 1 species
UACGUAGGGGGCAAGCGUUGUCCGGAUUUAUUGGGCGUAAAGCGCUCGCAGGUGGUUCAUUGCGUCGUGCGUGAAAGACCCCGGCUCAACUGGGGAGGGUCGUGCGAAACGGGUGAACUAGAGGCCAGUAGGGGGAUGUGGAAUUCCGGGUGUAGUGGUGGAAUGCGUAGAGAUCCGGAGGAACACCAGCGGCGAAGGCGGCAUCCUGAACUGGUCCUGACACUCAGGAGCGAAAGCGUGGGGAGCGAUCCGG